rnacentral:rRNA from 1 species
AUAGAGUCAAGUGAAUAAGUGCAUCAGGUGGAUGCCUUGGCGAUGAUAGGCGACGAAGGACGUGUAAGCCUGCGAAAAGCGUGGGGGAGCUGGCAAUAAAGCUAUGAUCCCGCGAUGUCCGAAUGGGGAAACCCACUCAGCUUGCUGAGUAUCCUUAUCUGAAUACAUAGGAUAAGCGAAGCGAACCCGGAGAACUGAACCAUCUAAGUACCCGGAGGAAAAGAAAUCAACCGAGAUUCCGUAAGUAGUGGCGAGCGAACGCGGAGGAGCCUGUAUAUGAUAAUUGUUGCGAUAGAAGAACAAGCUGGGAAGCUUGGCCAUAGUGGGUGAUAGCCCCGUAUUCGAAAUUGCAAUGAUGGUACUAGGUAUACGACAAGUAGGGCGGGACACGUGAAAUCCUGUCUGAAUAUGGGGGGACCAUCCUCCAAGGCUAAAUACUCAUCAUCGACCGAUAGUGAACCAGUACCGUGAGGGAAAGGCGAAAAGAACCCCGGGAGGGGAGUGAAAUAGAACCUGAAACCUGAUGCAUACAAACAGUGGGAGCGGACUUGUUCCGUGACUGCGUACCUUUUGUAUAAUGGGUCAACGACUUACAUUCAGUAGCGAGCUUAACCGGAUAGGGGAGGCGUAGGGAAACCGAGUCUUAAUAGGGCGAUGAGUUGCUGGGUGUAGACCCGAAACCGAGUGAUCUAUCCAUGGCCAGGAUGAAGGUGCCGUAACAGGUACUGGAGGUCCGAACCCACGCAUGUUGCAAAAUGCGGGGAUGAGCUGUGGAUAGGGGUGAAAGGCUAAACAAACUCGGAGAUAGCUGGUUCUCCCCGAAAACUAUUUAGGUAGUGCCUCGAGUAAGAGACUGAUGGGGGUAAAGCACUGUUAUGGCUAGGGGGUUAUUGCAACUUACCAACCCAUGGCAAACUAAGAAUACCAUCAAGUUGUUCCUCGGGAGACAGACAGCGGGUGCUAACGUCCGUUGUCAAAAGGGAAACAACCCAGACCGCCAGCUAAGGUCCCAAAUGAUAGAUUAAGUGGUAAACGAAGUGGGAAGGCCCAGACAGCCAGGAUGUUGGCUUAGAAGCAGCCAUCAUUUAAAGAAAGCGUAAUAGCUCACUGGUCGAGUCGUCCUGCGCGGAAGAUGUAACGGGGCUCAAAUCUAUAACCGAAGCUGCGGAUGCUAAUUUAUUAGCAUGGUAGGGGAGCGUUCUGUAGGCCGAAGAAGGUAACUUGAGAAGGUUGCUGGAGGUAUCAGAAGUGCGAAUGUUGACAUGAGUAGCGAUAAAGCGGGUGAAAAGCCCGCUCGCCGAAAACCCAAGGUUUCCUACGCAACGUUCAUCGGCGUAGGGUGAGUCGGCCCCUAAGGCGAGGCAGAAAUGCGUAGUCGAUGGGAAACGGGUUAAUAUUCCCGUACUUUGAUUUAGUGCGAUGUGGGGACGGAGAAGGUUAUGUCAGCGGCCUGUUGGAAUAGGUCGUUCAAGCCGGUAGGUGGAAAGUUUAGGCAAAUCCGGACUUUCAUAACACCGAGAAGUGAUAACGAGACUCUACGGAGUUGAAGUGACAGAUACCACGCUUCCAGGAAAAGCCACUAAGCUUCAGCUAAAUCAGAACCGUACCGCAAACCGACACAGGUGGGUAGGAUGAGAAUUCUAAGGCGCUUGAGAGAACUCAGGAGAAGGAACUCGGCAAAUUGAUACCGUAACUUCGGGAGAAGGUAUGCCCUCUAAUGUGAAGCACUUGCUGCGUAAGCAUCGGAGGGUCGCAGAGAAUAGGUGGCUGCGACUGUUUAUUAAAAACACAGCACUCUGCUAACACGAAAGUGGACGUAUAGGGUGUGACGCCUGCCCGGUGCUGGAAGGUUAAUUGAAGAUGUGCAAGCAUCGGAUCGAAGCCCCAGUAAACGGCGGCCGUAACUAUAACGGUCCUAAGGUAGCGAAAUUCCUUGUCGGGUAAGUUCCGACCCGCACGAAUGGCGUAACGAUGGCCACACUGUCUCCUCCUGAGACUCAGCGAAGUUGAAAUGGUUGUGAAGAUGCAAUCUCCCCGCUGCUAGACGGAAAGACCCCGUGAACCUUUACUGUAGCUUUGCAUUGGACUUUGAAGGCACUUGUGUAGGAUAGGUGGGAGGCUUUGAAGCAGAGACGCCAGUUUCUGUGGAGCCGUCCUUGAAAUACCACCCUGGUGUCUUUGAGGUUCUAACCCAGACCCGUUAUCCGGGUCGGGGACCGUGCAUGGUAGGCAGUUUGACUGGGGCGGUCUCCUCCCAAAGAGUAACGGAGGAGUUCGAAGGUUACCUAGGUCCGGUCGGAAAUCGGACUGAUAGUGCAAUGGCAAAAGGUAGCUUAACUGCGAGACCGACAAGUCGAGCAGGUGCGAAAGCAGGACAUAGUGAUCCGGUGGUUCUGUAUGGAAGGGCCAUCGCUCAACGGAUAAAAGGUACUCCGGGGAUAACAGGCUGAUUCCGCCCAAGAGUUCAUAUCGACGGCGGAGUUUGGCACCUCGAUGUCGGCUCAUCACAUCCUGGGGCUGUAGUCGGUCCCAAGGGUAUGGCUGUUCGCCAUUUAAAGUGGUACGUGAGCUGGGUUUAAAACGUCGUGAGACAGUUUGGUCCCUAUCUGCAGUGGGCGUUGGAAGUUUGACGGGGGCUGCUCCUAGUACGAGAGGACCGGAGUGGACGAACCUCUGGUGUACCGGUUGUCACGCCAGUGGCAUAGCCGGGUAGCUAAGUUCGGAAGAGAUAAACGCUGAAAGCAUCUAAGCGUGAAACUCGCCUGAAGAUGAGACUUCCCUGGUGGUUUAACCACCCUAAAGAGUCGUUCGAGACCAGGACGUUGAUAGGUCGGGUGUGGAAGUGCAGCAAUGCAUGGAGCUAACCGAUACUAAUUGCUCGUGAGGCUUGACUCUAU